AGCAGGGACAGGAGGGCUGGCAAGGGAGGGUCCAGGGCUAGGGGAUUCGGAGUGGCUUCAGGCGGACCACGUGGCUACCUUUUUUCCAGGGCCAGACUUUGGCAGCGUGUAAGGUCUGAGGACAGGGGCACCGGAGGCCGAGGAUGAGAGGCCAGUGCCUGUUUCCAGGCAGCCAGGGCCUCAGAAACUCCGGCCGGAGCACUCACCCGUCGGUGGAGGCCGUUACCAGGGCCACCUUAUUUGCGAGCGGGUCCCGGCGGGUCAUCCCGGAGCUGGCCAUCCGCACCGAAUUCCAAGCCCGGGCACAGAGGCCUAGCAGCCCCGCCUUGUGCAUGGAUCAGACCAGCAAGUAUGGGUUCCACUCUUCCCAGGGGCGGUGACAGAGUAGGGCGAGGGGCAGGACGAAGGGCGGGCCGAUUCCCUGCCCGCCCUGCUCCCCGCCCCGGUACCGCUGUGAGCGGUCUGUGGCCCUGGGCACCUCCAUCCGCCGCGGCGCCCCUCCACCAUCUACCUUCCGCCUGACUGGGGCUUGCCUUUCCGGGCUGGCGGGUGCCACUUCGGAUAAACCCUUUGGACUCCUAACUCCAAUCAGGUGUCUGCUUUGUUGAGGACUCACAGACACAGUCUCCUUUCUUCAAGAUCUUUACAAUGCAAGACCUCACUAACACACAGGGAUGGUCUCCCAGAGGGUCUGUGCUGUUCCUUCACUCAGAACAUCAAGAUGCACUGAAGUAAGGAUCCUCUAUUCUACAGUUCCUGCUAGCUGAGCUAUUCCAUGGGGGCUUCAGCAGGAAAUUCCAAGGUUGGCUUUGACAAGCUAAGGCCGGCUGGUGGAGCACAUCGAGUUCUGGAGGUUCAUGUGUGUUUUCAUGAAGAUCUGUCUGCCCGUAGCAGAUAAAGAGUUGUUGCCCCACUCCUCCUGGGGUCUUCUAUUUUCCUGGGAGGAAUUUCUGGAUUAACUGAACACACACACACACACACACACCCUUUUGAAGCAUCAACAGUAAUUCUGAGUUCUUAGGGACAAUGCAGAUUAAAUCCACAAUAAGAAAGACAACUAUGGCCAGGUGUGGUGGCUCACGCCUGUAAUCCCAGAACUUUGGGAGGCUGAGGCGGAUGGAUCACCUGAGGUCAGGAGUUAGAGACCAACCUGACCAACAUGGAGAAACCCCGUUUCUACUAAAAAUGCAAAAUUAGCCGGGCAUGGUGGCAGGCGCCUGUAAUCCCAAAUACUCGGGAGGCUGAGGCAGGAGAAUCACUUAAACCCGGGAGGCAGAGGUUGCAGUGAGCCAAGAUCGCGCCAUUGCACUCCAGCCUGGGCAAGAAGAGCAAAACUCCAUCUCAAAAAAAAAAAAAGAGUACUAUUGAUCCAGAGGUGACCAGACUAGCCUCACUGGAGAUAAUAGGUGACAUUAUUAUGCAAAGUGGUUUCAGUUCCCUUGUCUUGUUUUUGGAAUAGUAUAAGAGGCCUACAAUACGAAUAAAUAAGGCC
ensembl:lncRNA DHRS4-AS1 DHRS4 antisense RNA 1